rnacentral:rRNA from 1 species
CCUACGGGUGGCAGCAGUGGGGAAUAUUGGUCAAUGGGCGCGACCCUGAACCAGCAAAGUCGCGUGAAGGAUGAAUGCCCUCCGGGUUGUAAACUUCUUUUAUAAAGGAAUAAAGUGAGGCACGUGUGCCUUUUUGUAUGUACUUUAUGAAUAAGGCUCGGCUAACUCCGUGCCAGCAGCCGCGGUACUACGGAGGAUCCGAGCGUUAUCCGGAUUUAUUGGGUUUAAAGGGAGCGUAGAUGGGUUGUUAAGUCAGUUGUGAAAGUUUGCGGCUCAACCGUAAAACUGCAAUUGAGACUGGCAGUCUUGAGUACAGUUGAGGUAGGCGGAAUUCGUGGUGUAGCGGUGAAAUGCUUAGAUAUCACGAAGAACUCCGAGUGCGAAGGCAGCUUACUAAACUGCCACUGACAUUGAGGCUCGAAAGUGUGGGGAUCAAACAGGAUUAGAUACCCCUGUAGUC